CAGGAUGUAGCGCAGCCCGGUAGCGCGUCUGUUUUGGGUACAGAAUGUCGCAGGUUCAAAUCCUGCCAUCUUGA
rnacentral:tRNA from 1 species